AGGGCACCACCAGGAGUGGAGCCUGCGGCUUAAUUUGACUCAACACGGGAAAACUUACCCGGCCCGGACACUGGCAGGAUUGACAGAUUGAGAGCUCUUUCUUGAUUCAGUGGGUGGUGGUGCAUGGCCGUUCUUAGUUGGUGGAGCGAUUUGUCUGGUUAAUUCCGAUAACGAACGAGACUCUAGCCUACUAAUAGGCCACCGGCUUACUGACGUCGGUGGGACUUCUUAGAGGGACAGGCGGCGAUUCAGCCGCACGAAACAGAGCAAUAACAGGUCUGUGAUGCCCUUAGAUGUCCGGGGCCGCACGCGCGCUACACUGAAGUGAUCAGCGUGCAUUACAAACCUGCUCCGUCAGGAGUGGGGAACCCAAUGAACCUUCUUCGUGAUUGGGAUAGGGGAUUGUAAUUAUUCCCCUUGAACGAGGAAUUUCCAGUAAGCGUGGGUCAUAAGCUCGCGUUGAUUACGUCCCUGCCCUUUGUACACACCGCCCGUCGCUACUACCGAUUGGAUGAUUCA
rnacentral:rRNA from 1 species